GUGAGGAAUAUUGGUCAAUGGGCGAGAGCCUGAACCAGCCAAGUCGCGUGAAGGAAGAAGGAUCUAUGGUUCGUAAACUUCUUUUGCAGGGGAAUAAAGUGCAGGACGUGUCCUGUUUUGUAUGUACCCUGAGAAUAAGGAUCGGCUAACUCCGUGCCAGCAGCCGCGGUAAUACGGAGGAUCCGAGCGUUAUCCGGAUUUAUUGGGUUUAAAGGGUGCGUAGGUGGUUUGAUAAGUCAGCGGUGAAAGUUUGCAGCUUAACUGUAAAAAUGCCGUUGAAACUGUCGGACUUGAGUGGAAAUGAGGUAGGCGGAAUGCGUGGUGUAGCGGUGAAGUGCAUAGAUAUCACGCAGAACUCCGAUUGCGAAGGCAGCUUACUAAGCUACAACUGACACUGAAGCACGAAAGCGUGGGGAUCAAACAGGAUUAGAAACCCGAGUAGUCC
rnacentral:rRNA from 1 species